AGAGUUUGAUCCUGGCUCAGGACGAACGCUGGCGGCGCGCCUAACACAUGCAAGUCGAACGGAGCAUUGAGAGCUUGCUUUUAAUGCUUAGUGGCGAACGGGUGAGUAACGCGUGAGUAACCUGCCCUGGAGUGGGGGACAACAGUUGGAAACGACUGCUAAUACCGCAUAAGCCCACGGCCCGGCAUCGGGCUGCGGGAAAAGGAUUUAUUCGCUUCAGGAUGGACUCGCGUCCAAUUAGCUAGUUGGUGAGGUAACGGCCCACCAAGGCGACGAUUGGUAGCCGGACUGAGAGGUUGAACGGCCACAUUGGGACUGAGACACGGCCCAGACUCCUACGGGAGGCAGCAGUGGGGGAUAUUGCACAAUGGGGGAAACCCUGAUGCAGCGACGCCGCGUGGAGGAAGAAGGUUUUCGGAUUGUAAACUCCUGUCGUUAGGGACGAUAAUGACGGUACCUAACAAGAAAGCACCGGCUAACUACGUGCCAGCAGCCGCGGUAAAACGUAGGGUGCAAGCGUUGUCCGGAAUUACUGGGUGUAAAGGGAGCGCAGGCGGACCGGCAAGUUGGAAGUGAAAACUAUGGGCUCACCCCCAUAAAUUGCUUUUCAAAACUGCUGGCCUUGAGUAGUGCAAAGGUAGGUGGAAUUCCCGGUGUUACGGGUGGAAUGCGUUAAAUAUUCGGGAGGAACACCAGUGGCGAAGGCGACCUACUGGUCAACCAACCUGACGCCUGAGCUCGAAAGCAUGGGAUACAAACUAGAUUUGAUCUCCUGGUAAUCCAUGCCGUAAACGAUGAAUUAGUAGGUGUUGGAGGAUUGACCCCUUCAGUGCCGCAGUUAACACAAUAAGUAAUCCACCUGGGGAGUACGACCGCAAGGUUGAAACUCAAAGGAAUUGACGGGGGCCCGCACAAGCAGUGGAGUAUGUGGUUUAAUUCGAAGCAACGCGAAGAACCUUACCAGGUCUUGACAUCCGAUGCAUAGUGCAGAGAUGCAUGAAGUCCUUCGGGACAUCGAGACAGGUGGUGCAUGGUUGUCGUCAGCUCGUGUCGUGAGAUGUUGGGUUAAGUCCCGCAACGAGCGCAACCCUUAUUGCCAGUUACUACGCAAGAGGACUCUGGCGAGACUGCCGUUGACAAAACGGAGGAAGGUGGGGAUGACGUCAAAUCAUCAUGCCCUUUAUGACCUGGGCUACACACGUACUACAAUGGCGUUUAACAAAGAGAAGCAAGACCGCGAGGUGGAGCAAAACUCAAAAACAACGUCUCAGUUCAGAUUGCAGGCUGCAACUCGCCUGCAUGAAGUCGGAAUUGCUAGUAAUCGCGGAUCAGCAUGCCGCGGUGAAUACGUUCCCGGGCCUUGUACACACCGCCCGUCA
rnacentral:rRNA from 1 species